GCAGUCUGACCAGCCAUGCCGCGUGCAGGAUGACGGUCCUAUGGAUUGUAAACUGCUUUUGUGCGAGAAAAAACAUCCCGACGUGUCGGGACUUGACGGUCUCGUUUGAAUAAGGAUCGGCUAACUCCGUGCCAGCAGCCGCGGUAAUACGGAGGAUCCGAGCGUUAUCCGGAAUCAUUGGGUUUAAAGGGUCCGUAGGCGGUUUAGUGAGUCAGUGGUGAAAGCCCAUCGCUCAACGGUGGAACGGCCAUUGAUACUGCUGAACUUGAAUUAUUAGGAAGUAACUAGAAUAUGUAGUGUAGCGGUGAAAUGCUUAUAUAUUACAUGGAAUACCAAUUGCGAACGCAGGUUACUACUAAUUGAUUGACGCUGAUGGACGAAAGCGUGGGGAGGGAACAGGAUUACAUACCCUGGUAGUCCACGCCGUAAACGAUGGAUACUAUCUGUUGGGAGCAAUCUCAGUGGCUAAUCGAAAGUGAUAAGUAUCCCACCUGGAGAGUACGUUCGCAAGAAUGAAACUCACACGAAUUGACGGGGGCCCGCACAAGCGGUGGAGCAUGUGGUUUAAUUCGAUGAUACGCGAGGAACCUUACCAAGGCUUAAAUGUAGAU
rnacentral:rRNA from 1 species